rnacentral:rRNA from 1 species
UACAGAGGGUGCGAGCGUUUAAUCGGAAUUACUGGGCGUAAAGCGCGCGUAGGCGGCUUUGCAAGUCGGGUGUGAAACCUCCAGGCUCAACCUGGAGACGCCACCCGAUACUGUCGUGACUAGAGUCCAGUAGGGGAGCGUGGAAUUCCUGGUGUAGCGGUGAAAUGCGCAGAUAUCAGGAGGAACACCAGCGGCGAAGGCGGCGCUCUGGGCUGGCACUGACGCUGAGGAGCGAAAGCGUGGGUAGCGAACAGG